GAUAACACGGGUGUCCUUGGAGAUAGUGUUUUUGAGAAGGGCUCCAUCGCCCAGGCUUUCCUUCCCAUAAGGCUCCCAUGUGUGGGGAGACAUGGCUAGUUUGCAGGGCUGGGAGUGGGAGGGAGGGGUAAGAGAGGUACAGCUGGAGGAGGCUUCACGGAAAGACUGUGGAAAUGUGGAAAGCAGGGAAAUGAAGAGGGACACGUCACUUGUUGCAAACUGAAAUGCAGAGGGGGUGGUAAGGGGAAGAAAGGAUCAAGGAGGCAGAGAUUUGGAAGUUUCAUCACAGAAGAACUGGCCUCAAGAGCAAAGGGACAGGGGGAAGUCAAGAUCCUACAAAAGUCAUCAUGGUGACUCUUCCUCUUUUCCUCCUCUUCAUCCUUUUGCCCUGCAGUAAAUCUCAAGAGGACUUUCUGGACCAGCAUCAGAAGUGGAACUACAGAGAAGGCGCUGACAAGGUCAACAUAGAAGGUGUUUAUAGCAUUACUCAAACCCUUGAGAAAUGGGGAAACGACAUCUUCUGGCAAAUGAAGCAUACCCUGCUGAACAACCCACAUGCUCUCCUGCCUGAGUUCUCCAGUCUCCGCCCUGUCUCUGCAGCUGUGGACAACCUUGUGAGGGAAGUCCAGUCGAUAAGGAAAAGGCUGGAAGAAUUGAAUGAACGUCUCAAUGUCAUCAGCAAAACUGUCCUUCCCCUUCGACUGAAUGCUCUGCAGAGCCAGAGGCGUGGAAAUACUCAGCUGCGGAGACUCCCGACACACAGGAGAAGGUUAUAUGCUCGCAGGAGACCUCAGAGCACUUAAUUCUCUACCAGAAAAAAAGGGGAAAUCAUUACUUUUUUUUCAUCUGCUUAAGUCUUUCUCAAUGGGACACUGCUAGAGAGAAAAAAAGUAAAGCACACACACAAGUCAGCUUUGCUAAGGAGACCAGAACUUCUGUAUUUUGUUGCUGCCUUUCAAACCUAGGUCAGUAGGUGAAACUGACCCUGUUUUUUAAUGAUGGCUGUUUUGUGUCUCAAGCAAAAAAGAGUUGACAAGCUCAAUCUACUUGAGCGUGAAUACCUUUAGUCUAUACAGGCAUUCUUUCUGCUUACCAGAGGAAGGUCAUUUUAUAAAGAUCAGGUGAAUUUCUCUCUCUCUGCACUAUUUUUAAAGCACUCCAUCUGAAACAGCUGGGGAAUUUGAACUUCUAAAGUGCUGAACAACUGAUGAAUGCAGAAAGAUGGAUUAGUGCUUGGCACUUCCAGCUGGGCAGGGAGAGGGAGAGGAAGUUAUGUUUCAAAAUACAGCCUUAACCUAUUGCCCAUGUUCAUAUGUUCAGAGGGUGGGUAGGGCUGGAUAACAUUGGUCUGUACAUCAUGCUUCAACACUGAAGACCUAUCAGUUGCUAGGGACCAAAUUUAAACAUUCAUCUUCUGCAAAGAGUGUUUUUCUAGCUACCUGUAUCUGUGCACUCAGAAUGGUGUUAUUCAGUAGAUAUAUUCAGAAUUUCCAGCACUCUGAAACACACUGAACUGAUUUUUGCCAAGACCCAUGAAAACCAGGAGAUUUUUGUUUGGUUUUUUUCCCCCCCAAAAACUAUUUAGAUAUCUAAUGGCAAAGACAGGUGUCUGGAAGGAUUUUCCAAAAUAGCUUAAGAGACUCUUCAGUCCCCAAAAUCACAGAUAAUAUUUCAAUUGGUAUCUAGUUCACAGAGUAUUUUCUCCAAAUGCCAGCACUGACCUCCAGACAUUUUCCAACCUCCUUUAGUACAAUUAAUAUCUGUAGAAAAUUAACAACCAGGCUCUCCAAAGACUUUGGUCCCUCAGGGAUUACCCAGAAUACUUUGCCUUCAGCUUGCCUUUGCCUAUGUCUUCCUGACAAUAAAGCUGGUUAUAAAAAAGAAUGCAUUAAUCAAAUUAUACACGGAAUGGAGGAUAGCGUGCACUUGCCCUUCAGGUCUCUAAAGAUUGAUCCAAUACAUAGAUUUCCAUUCAGCAUUGCAGUCAACUGUGUCAAUGAAAUGUGUUGAAACACAAGAAGGAGAGCCAGAAAGGAGAAGAAACAGGUUGUCUUUAAGGUCUGGAUGAAGCAAUUUAUGAGAACACAAAUAAAGAAUGGAUUGUGUCUAAAUGAUUGUGGAGGUGUCUGACAUGACAGCUGUUUUGCAAACACUCUCCAGUCACAGUGAGGAUGCAGACUAGCUGUUUAAGGAUUCCCAAAGCCUGAGUUUAUGGAAAGAAAUUCAGUGACAGUACAAUAACCUCGAAAAGGAAAGGGGGAAAAAACUAGUUUCAUAUGAAACCUUUCAGAAUGGACCAGAAGAAUUAACACAGUAUGAAUUUGAGCUGCAACCUGGGAGUUAGUUGAGUGGGGGAGGUAUGGGCAGUGUAUGAGACAAUCUGAUAAAUAUUUCCCUGAUGUAAAUUCUCUGAGUUCAGGUUUUCAGAAAAUAACAAAACUCAAAUUUGGUUCUCUUUGGCUUUUGCUUGGGAAUUUGAAACACUGCUUAGGCAGAGAAGGGAAAAAUCAAGACUGAAAAGGCUGAUAAAAGGAUACAGUUGUGCCUUUGUUGAAGUUGUCAUCAUAAUUUCUCAGGAAAUGUAGAGCAUUUUGAUCCCAGAAUAUAUUUACAUAAAUUACAAGGAAUAACAAGAGAGAAAGGCCCUUAACUUCUUGUUAUUCUGCAUUCAGAGUUUCUAGGCUGUGCUGUAGCAACAGCUGCAUCCUUGCACAGACUGCUGAUCCCUCCAAGGGGUGCUUUGCUUGGAGCUGUAGGGAUUGCUGGUUUUUUUUGGCCUAUCUGAAGGAAGCGUACAACAUAAAUGUUAGCUUUCAUGUUCAUAUUUUAGACACCAGCAUUUUAUCAGGCAACCUGAAGUUGUAUAAAUUCAAGACUACUUGAAAUAGAAAGAUGAGACUUCCCUAAGUCCCUCAAGUUACAGAUGGCUGGUGGUGGGUGGCCAGACCAUGCCAUUGCAUCCUUUAACUUUAUACCUAGAUGUCCACCAGCAGCUUCUGCCAGAGACAGAGGACAGGGCAAGAUGUAUUCCCAGUUUAACCCAGCCCAUGUAUUCCGACACUGAUACGUGCAAGUUUAUAGUCUUGGCAAAACCUCCUCAGCACAAUGGAGAAGGCCACCGUUUGCUGUAUAAGAGAAUAAAUAAGCUGCAGCAUUCAGUGUAUAUUA